rnacentral:lncRNA from 1 species
CAGCAUUCACUUGGUUAACUUAAUUUUCAUGUUAUGGUUGUGAACCAUUCUAAAUUCUUGGAUUGGGUUUAGAUUAGCUAGGUAGCCUCCCUUAUUCUUGCUCACUUAUGGUAGAGACUAGCUGACCUACCUGUAUUUUCAAAUGGGCUAUGGCUUGGGUAUUAGCAUUUAAGAGCUGGCUUGUGGUCUACAUAAAGUUACUCAGUGUAGCAUUGGUAUCAGCAUUGAAUUUUGUUAGGAUUUCUAGACUUUUCUCUAGAGAGUUAA